ensembl:antisense Gm26568 predicted gene, 26568
CUCGGCCACCAUCACAUAGCGCCCCGUUGGGAAGUAUCCAGCGGGUAGCAGAAGUUUAGAGUAAUGAGGGGCCAGCUCUCUGCCACAGGCUGGGCCCCAGGCCCCACGGUGGCGAGGUGGCUCAGGGAGACAGAGGGGCCUCAGAAAGGAGAUGUCUGGACUGCUGCUGCCAGGUGAGUACAGCAGACAGAGGAGCCGAGAAACAGGAACAACUUGUCUAGAACAACCUUCUUUUGAGCUCCCAAGUCAGACACUAGAACCCAGAACCUCAGGCUCGUCUGGAGGGCGGGGUCCGUGUGGGAGCCACAAGUCACUGGCUAUACCAGUUGGUUCCUCUGCCCUCUAUCUCCUCUCGGACUAAAGGCUCUGAGAAAAUCAGCCUUCUUCCCUCCUACACAGGGUUAAGCCAGAGCCCUAGGCAUGUCCUGGCCUGCUUCUUCACUCCCAACAAGGAGUGUCAUCAGUCACAAUGGCAGUAGUAGUGACAUUCCCCCCAAAGCCCCGCCCUGCGCAAAAGCUCCUGGCAGUGCCAGCACCUAUGGGCAAAGGAGCUGAACAGUGCACGUGAAGAGGGGUGUGGAGACAGGUCACAUUUCUACACUAAUGGCUCCUUCAAGUACAGAGGUGGCCCUCGGGGACCAUUAUACCUCCAUCAGCAUGUGCCUUACCAUACCCAGGGCCUGUGGAAAAUGAAGAACUGAGAAUGACUUUUUCCUUAGAGUCUUGGCGAGUGACAGUGAUGUCCUAUAUUAGGGCCAGAGCCACUGAAAGCAGAAUAGGGUUUGGCCACUAAGCCCAGUUUUCCUGGUCAGUCAAGACAUGGAAGAACACGUUGUUCCUUGCCAUCUACGCCAGGCUUCCAAGGGUGGCCUGGCUGGUGUCUGUUCAGACGCUUUGUCCUGGAGGUCACAGGUACUGAAAGCAAUGCCUGCCUGAGGCACACAGCAUAGGGGGUGGGGAGGACCUUGAAGCUUCUACUGUGUCCAGCCAGAGAAGAGAAUUGCAGGGCAAGAACCAGCUGAUAUUCGAGUAUGGACCAGGACAUGGGGAAGCCUGCUUGCUCCCCAGGCUGAGCCUGAGGCUCUGGGUAAAGAGCAGCUUGUCCCUCUUACCACUUCCUUAAGACACAGCCAAGCAAGAGACUGACUCCAGAGCUGAUCUGGGACUGGAGGAAUGGAGGCUACAAGUCCCAACUUGACAGGAUUUGGGUCAGGACAAAGAAAACGGUCCCAUCUCAGGGUUCAAAAGCACUAGAAGCUCACCAGACCGGGCACACUGAAGUCAUUUGGCUGGCUCUGGUUCUGAGGUGCCCCGCAGCCUCAUCUCUGGGUCAGGGCUCAGUCACUAGGCUACAAGAACGGUUCAGCACUCUUGACCAGUUGCAGACACUGACGGGACUGUAGAGUUAUGACUGGAUUUCAGUCUAAACACCCAUGCGUAUGUGGCCCUGAACCCAUCAGUCAUUGGCUACCCAUAGCAACAGCAAUUCCCUAAAGAUGCUGAACGAGCAUCGCUGCAGAGCCUUCUGCCUACUGAACUUUUCUCCCUCAAGAUAGUAUUUGAGUUUGAAUAAACACUUGGAUUACUAUCAAAC